rnacentral:misc_RNA from 1 species
UCCAUAUGUCUACGCUUCACAUGAGCAAACCACCUCAUUCUCCCUUCUCUCAACCAUAGUUAUUAAAGGCGCACCUUAGGCUCCAGGCUCAUCAGGCUCUAGUCGUAGCGCUUCUACAAGAGAAAGGCGGGCAACAUUCACCAGGCCCUCGCCUUAUGCUCCUAUGCGUGCGCCUUGUUCCAGGAUCAAGGCUAGAAAGGCGCGCCUUUUUUAUUUCUACAUUCGGCGAGUACUUCCAUCAACAAAAAGCACUAUCACCAAACUCGAAAUUUGUUGAUCUAGAAAUUUUCAAAAUUAGUAUCGUUGAUAAUAACUAGACACCAAAAUCUCAUCAAACUAACAAACUCAGGAUUACAAACCUCCUAUAUUUUAAUUUUCAAUACUACUAA